AUUCCAAGUGUUUUGAUGAUUGUGAUUCCAUUUGAGGUGUCACACUUGGGGCACUAGGCACUCAAGCUUCAUGAAGACUUUCUACAUCAAAGAGGUAUGUAUUCUAUCUUGCUAUAGUCAUUGUUUUGUAUGCUAGAUUAGGAUAAUACCUUGGAAGUUCUUAUUUGCAUGUAUAAUAGAGAAAACAUAGAUCCAAGGUAUUUAGGGUUGCAUGUACACUUAGGAGUGUUAGAAUGCUCAAAACCCAACAGUGGUAUCAGAGCCUAGGCUUGUUUUCUUGUUAUACCUGCAAUAGAAGCUGAAAAAACGAAUCUGGUGCUGUCUGGCCAUCAGACUCGGCGAGUCCAUCAGGAGACUCGACGAGUCCAUGCCUAAAAAGUGAUGAAUUCGAUCCAACUCGCCGAGUUUGUUCAUGCACUCGACGAGUUGGACCCCCAGACAGCAUAUUUUCGAGUUUUUUGGCUAGAAAUGGACUAGGAACAUUACCCUAAGUUGUUUUUGAUCUUAUAAACUUGUUUUUGAUGUGGUAAUGUUCAUGCUAAUCCAUUUUCAAAGAUAAUUGUCAAUAGAUUCAUGUUUUGUAUUAGUUUAAGGUUUAGACUAAUUACAUGAAAAAGUUUGAUUUGAAUUAUCUUGUUCUUAUGAGUUGCUUAGAUUAAUAGAAAUGUUGAGUGAAAUAGUUGUUUUCAAUCCAUUUUAAUCUAAGAGUUGAGUAUAAAAUGUGUUUGUGUAACUUGUCCUCAAGUUACAUGAAGAGUCACAUUAAAGACUCAUAAAAUUCAUAAAAGUUGGCAAUGGUUACAAAAUGAAGAGUCUUGUGUCAUUGAAUAAUUUUUUUUGACUCCAUAACUUGUCCUCAAGUUAUGGAAGUUCAAGAGUCACUUCAUUAAAGAAAAAUAUGUAACCAUAAUUAAAUCCAUAAGUUAUAAAAUAAAGAAAAAGUUAGUUCUUUUAUUAGUUUAAAGUCUUCCAUAACUUGUCCUCAAGUUAUGGAACUUGAAGAGUUUUUGGAUUAAAACUACUUUAAACACAUAAGUUAUGGAAUUAAUUAGUUUUGAAUAGUUUCAAAACUUGCCCUCAAGUUUUGGAAUUUGAAAAGUUUUCAAGUAUGAAUACUUUAAUUCCAAGUUAGCCCUUAGAAUUUUAAAAGUUAAAAUUCAACCCUUAUACUUUAUAAUAUUAUAAGUUAAUAAUAUAUAUAUGUAUAAGAGUAAAGUCAGUCUUACCGCUAGUACGCCUCAUUCACGAAGCCGGUCUAUAAGGUGGGUAUAAGGUUGUUGCCUAUAAAAUGGCAACUUAAUGGGUGUCCACUCUCACCCACCGCUUGCUUGACUGGUGGAGGGUCGUUAGCCGAACGGGUUUGACAGGACUAGAAUUCUCCCUUCAUUAAAAGUAUUAAUGAUAAUACUAAGUAACUAAACUCUUAAUAAUACCCAAUCUUAGUUACUUAGGAAAAAUGUGAAUAAGGUGCUAAUCCAUGAAAUUACACUUUACACUUUGUCUAAGUCGUUAGUGGAGCGUGUGUGGUUAACCGGCACACUAACUUGGACUUAACAAGGUAGGUAAAGGGUGACUUAAUAUUUAUCAUAGUAUCGAUGGAGCGUGUGUGGUUAACCGGCACAUCGAUUGAGGGGUAAUUUAUUAAGGGUACCAAGUGAUUUGCAUGGUUACUUCACACCUUGUUUUGUGAUCCUCGGCAUCCCAGUCACAAAACCUGAAGGGCACACUCGAGAUUGAAACAUGCCUUUGAAAAGUUCAAUGAAUCUCAAAGAUCUAGGAGUUUCAAAACCAAUUAAAACCUAAUAAUACAUUUCGUUUAUCUUGGUGGAAAUUGGUGAAUCGUCAUUCACCUACCUUCAAAUAUUUUAUAGCUUGGAUUACGGCAUACCUCUUCUAAGUUAUAAAAUAGUUUGUUGGGUCCUAGCCUUAAUAUUUCAUAUUGGGUGUCAUAUUAAGGACUUUAAAUCAACUAUCUUGAAUAUCUCCCAAAAGAUGUCUGGUUUAGACACCUAUGAUCUUCCCAAAUCUCUUGAAACAAGGUUUCCUAAUGAAGAUGAUGUCCCAUGGAUAUCAUACUUCUUCACCUCUUCAAAUUAUUCUCCCUAACCCACAAGUUCUUGAAAAGUUUAAGGUCACUCAGGCCCUAUUAGCAAGGCAAGGUCUAGGUGUGGUCACAUCUUGGAGAUGUAGUCACAUAUUGACAAGCCGGGAGAGUUGGGUGUCAAAGUCUUGAGAAAGUUGGUGGUUCAACCACUUUCUAAGUCACAUAGUGAGUUCCUUUGGGACACCUAUGAAACAGACUAUGACAAGACCCUUAAUGAUCUUAUCUAUUUGCUAAGAUCAACUUCCUAAAACUUUAUGGACAUUGACAAUGAUGACAUUGGAUAUCCAGUAAAGCAUUCUCUUCCCAAUGGAAAGGGAUCGGCCAUAGUCAACUCGGUUGACCAAAUGGUAAAGAGAAAAGCUAAGUCUGUGAUAGUCCCGUGUACCAUUAUCAAAGGGUCCAUAUGUUUAUAUUGCCAAAGGAAGGGGCAUUGGUUGCGAAGCUGCCAAAUUUACCUAAGGAUGUUAAAGUCAAUAAGUUUGACUCUACUUCAGGUAAAGUCCACUAUCUAACUCUGUUAAGUUUCUAUUCUGAGAUUCUUGAUACAUGAUGUGACUGGGUCACAUGGUGAUGUUUUAAGAAUCAAAGAAAAGUGAAGAAACUUAAAGAAAGAAUAUGCUGAAUCUGAUGGCGUAGAUGGAUUUCUAUCGCAUAGUUUGAAGAUCGGAUUCUUGAGCUACUUCUUAGGAGUUAUGAGAUAUUGCUUAGGAAUAGAUAACAACAAGUUUUCAUAUGGAUUGUAAGGAUAAGUUUUUCCGCAAAGUUUUAAAAUAAAAGAAAAUUUUUUUGAUUUUAUUUAUUUUAAAAUAUCCUUACAAUGGCUUUUGAGGAAAAAUUGUUGCUUAUAUGAUUCCAUUAAGAGCAAGAGUGGAAAUAUGAAAUUGAUUCUUUCAUUUGUGGUAAUGUCUAGAUUUACCAAAUAAGGAAAGAUUCUCAUCACCCAAGUUUCAAUUGGACCGGAACUUGGAAUCAUGCAAGUUGUAUAGCAUGAUGAAUGAGAACUUUCAAGUUUUGGAAAAUUAAGACUAAUUACUUGUUCACAUGGAUGUGUGAGUCAAGUAAAGGACUAAGGGAUCGAGUACACAUUCUUGUGCACUGAUUAAGUCCACCACUAAAGAUCGAUAAGAAGAAUCAAAUUAGGCAGAAGGAUAAAAGUUUCUCAAAUCUGAAAAGAUGGGAGAGUACUUUAGUAUCAGUUUUGUGAUCAUCUUAAUGAUUAAGAAACCAUAUCACAAUUAGUUCUCUAAGGAAAUCUUAGUGCAUUCUUAUGACUAAGAAGAGGAACUUGAAUUGUUGAAAUGGUUAAAUCAAGAAGAUGAGUCAUACUUCGUUCCAAUACAAGUCUUAGAGUCAUACUCCAAGAUUGUCAUUUGAGUGACAUGUCUUAAAGAAGGUUUAAAACACUUGUCAAAUGUAAGAGUAAAAGUUUUCUACUCUUGUACAUUUGAAAUUGGUAAGUUGUGAUGUUUUGGAUAAAACAAAGACCAACUUAGGCCAAUUGGGUAAAGUGUUUUUCUUGAUUAGAAUCCGCACUAUCUCUUGGAUGUUUGACAAGGGAGUCUUAUAUGUCAAGAGGACAGUGGGAGUCUUAAAGGUCUUGAAAGUCUCAAGAAAUAAUCAAGAAUAAAACCUGAAGUUCUUCACUAGCACACGACUUGAGGUUUAUAACCUAUCGUGUUGACAUAUCUGUGCCCAUUCCAGUUAAAGUUGGCUUUGCAUAUGAGUUCUUAGAGUUCUCAGUUUGUUGCAUAACAACUUGGAAGCAAUGGCAGGCCCUUGAGCUGCCAGGUGGCAAGAAGUUAAGAUUGAGUUCAAUCCAUAUGGUUUUGGAUUUGUCAUUAUCUUUGUCUUGUGAUUAUGGUUUGACAAAUUCAUAUGGGUAGGAACUCAUACACCAUAUAAAUCUAAGUGUCAUAAGGUUUCUCUCCGAUUCAUGAAAAUGAUGGUGAGGAAACGCUUUCACUAAGUAGAUUUUACGAAGAUAUCAAUUGUGUUAUUUGCAUUUUCAAAAGUCGUUAGUGGAGCGCGUGUGGUUAACCGGCACACUAACAUGGACUUGUGAGAAAUGGCAAAUGCCUAAGCAAUUGAGACCAUGAUUACGGUAUCCCUUUUCAUGGUUCUUGAAAUUGCUUAGACACACAGGUGAGCUAUCUACGGAAAGGGUGUAUGAAUCUAAAUUUCAGACUGUCCAGCUGAUUUCUGAGUACAUGUCAAAGCUAGUGGGAGCAUAAGUGUUAUGCUAAUAAUCAUCAUGUUAGUGGGAGCAUGAUAAUUAUGAUAAGUAUUGCAAGUUAGCAAUGUUAAUUAUAGAAAACAAAAGUUUCAAUUGGGAAAAAGUUGUUUUGCUAUAAUUAAGGGAGAGGAAAUUAUGCUUCAUCUCAAAUCUAUAAGCUUAGAUCGUGAGGUUUUAAUCAUUUAGUCAAGGAUAUAUAUGAAUUUCAUGUUGGAAUGGCUCAACAUAAGGAAAUUCUGUAUAUGGGUCCAUUAUUUGCGUUCUAAAAUUCGAUUAUGAUUACGGCAUCCCUUUUCAUAAUCUGAAUUAUGAGAACUUGGCAAAUUGAAAUGGAAAUAUUAUAGCAAAAGACUGGUUUAGUCUUUAUGUAAGACAUCAUGAAUCGUGUCCCAUAUGCUUCGGAUAUAGGAUCGAUUACAUGUGCUAUAUUCAUCCGUUCUAAAAUUUUCCAAAUGCCUGGGGCAUUAAGAAGGGAAAAGGUUUAGAACUGGAUAUGACUAAAAGGAUUAAACAAUUGUCGAGGACAAUCUAAGGUUUACCAAAGAUUGGUUACUCAAGGACAAUUGGAAGUAUAGUGAUAAUUCUGGAAGGACCAUAUUGACAUAAUCUGUAAGGAGGCAACUCUUGUUCAGAAGUGAUAGUCAAAAUGGAAUCUGGAAAUGUUUCAAAGUUAGAAUUUUCAAUCUGUGUAAGAUUAAGGAAACUUAAUGCAAGAAGGAUAUUUCCAAGGAGUUGAUCUCCUUUGGAAUACUCUGUAAUGAUUGUUGCCAAGUCUUUGUGACUUUGUGCAUAAUCAUUACAAGAGGAUCAAUGCAUAUAAGUUUAGAAUCUAACAGAUUUCAGUAAAUGGCAUGAAUUUGGAAUUCUUGCAUUUGCAGUAAGGAUUUGGGAGUGUGAAAAGAGAAUCAUUGAAGUUAUGUUCAAUUGAUCUAGUUCACAAAGUAAAGAUCAUAGACAAACAUAGUAUGCAUACUUGGUGUGUGGCAUGACUAGUGUUUAAGAAAACAUAGUGUACAUGCUUGGAGCAUGGGACAACUAUUGUUUUAAAUUCAAGAAUAAAGUUGAUAGCUGAAACAGUAUACAAUGAAUAAUGUGUAAUCAUAUGGUGAUAAAUAAAAGGUGUUUUAUUUAUGUUCAAAGGGUUGAUACCAUAUUGGAUUCAAUUAUUAUUGUGUUUCAUUUUGCAUGUUUUGACUUCCCGAAUAAACUGGGUUAUUCUUCCGGAAUGACUAAGUUAUUCAAACCAUCCACAGUCGGUCAUAUGUUGGAAGUAGAUAUGAAUUAAGACUGUCAUGGGUUGGCUUGUAGAGGUCUAAGGUGUUGGACAAAGGGCUACAACACUCAUGAGUGCUCAUAAGUUCUGAGUAUUGGAUUCAACCCGCGCUCAUUGGAAUCACUUCAUGGAUUUUAUCACGAGUGAUCAUGAGACGAUAAUAUCUUAUAUUCUUCAAACCUAGAGAUAUGAGUUGUUACUAUGAGUUGAUAGUACAUUGAUUGCACGAAAACGCAUUUGGUAACUCGGUGCUAUAAAACGUGCCUUUGUGUAUGAUUCAACAAGUAGUAGAACAAGCCAUAUGAGUCGAAGUUUAUCCAUUCCUUUUACCUUCGGGAUAAAAGCGAUAUCUGUGGGCCCCUCGAUGAUUUGAUGAUGACAAAUGGAAGUGCUCGGCCGGGCCAGGACUGAUUUGAUUUGUUCAAUUAGUCAGUCGUCAUAAAUCGGAAAUCGGGAAACAACAAAUGGACAGAGAGAAUGAUUAUAAUCCAUGUCUCAGUCCAUAUGAUAUCUAGAAUGGAGGAAUAUAUGAUCCCUUAUCUAAUGGACAAGUCAUUGACAAAGGUCAGAGUUCAUCUACAAGGUCAGAGUUCGACAGAAGCUUUUGAGAGCUACGAUUGCCAGUUGGUUCCUGAAGUCAUACGCAAUAAUAGUUUUAGACUUAUCCAAGUGGGAGACUGUUGGAUUAAUGUCUAAGUCCAUAACUAUAAUUGGUAAGACUUGACCCGACCCGGCAUGGUCCAUUUGGGUUGCAUACCAUCAUGCACUUGGAUAGACUAGAAUGAGAGAAAUAAGACACUUAUGGUUAUUAAUAUAUUAUAAGUUCUAGUAUAUUAAUAAUAAGAAUAAUAAGAUUAUUUAAUUAGUAUUGAUCAAGAAUUAAUCUAGGAUUAAUUAAGUGAUCAAAAGAAGACUAAUUAAAUAUAUGGGUUGAUUGUGUAAAUCAUCCAUACUUGUAUAGUGGGCUAAUGCUCCAUGGAUAAUCAAGUUGGGCUAAACCCAUAGGAUGGUCCAUGGAUGCUCCAUGGUGUAUUUGUACCCAUGGAUCCAAGGAAAUGGAAAGCCAUGACAGUUAAGAGUUUACCCUAAUUGUGUAACUAUAUAAGCAUCUUAUUAUUGAGGAAAAAAUCGGCCACUAGUAUUAUUCAAGAAAGGGCUAGCCGGUUUUGGUGAGUGUAGAAUUCUCUCAAGUCAUUCUAAGUGUUUUGAUGAUUGUGAUUCCAUUUGAGGUGUCACACUUGGGGCACUAAGCACUCAAGCUUCAUGAAGACUUUCUACAUCAAAGAGGUAUGUAUUCUAUCUUGCUAUAGUCAUUGUUUUGUAUGCUAGAUUAGAAUAAUACCUUGGAAGUUCUUAUUUGCAUGUAUAAUAGAGAAAACAUAGAUCCAAGGUAUUUAGGGUUGCAUGUACACUUAGGAGUGUUAGAAUGCUCAAAACCCAAC
rnacentral:lncRNA from 1 species